GCGUUACAUAAAUUGGGGAAAUCAUCAGCCUUUUAGUUACAGCUGUAAUAUGUGUGCAGAGUUGGACGAGUGUGGGAAAUGGCAGACACUAUGCUGUAAUGAGGAAAGAGGCUUGUUGUGCACUAUACCAAAUACCCGUCUUCAUUGUGACGACGUUUAUUGCUACUUUGAAUAUUAUCAGAAAGUACCCUGCAACAUGAUGAAGACCGUAUGUGAAAAAAUCAAAGGAGAGCCAGUCAUUCCUGAAAAUUUUACAAUCAAUAAGAACUUAAAUCAAUUGUUUGUCAAUUCCUACAACAAUAUGAUUUGGAUACAAAUUCCACCUAAAAACCAA
rnacentral:lncRNA from 1 species